rnacentral:rRNA from 1 species
GUAGUCAUAUGCUUGUCUCAAAGAUUAAGCCAUGCAUGUCUAAGUAUAAGCAAUAUAUACCGUGAAACUGCGAAUGGCUCAUUAAAUCAGUUAUCGCUUAUUUGAUAGUACCUUACUACUUGGAUAACCGUGGUAAUUCUAGAGCUAAUACAUGCUAAAAACCCCGACUUCGGAAGGGGUGUAUUUAUUAGAUAAAAAACCAAUGCCCUUCGGGGCUCACUGGUGAUUCAUAAUAACUUAACGAAUCGCAUGGCCUUGUGCCGGCGAUGGUUCAUUCAAAUUUCUGCCCUAUCAACUUUCGAUGGUAUGGUCUUGGCUUACCAUGGUUUCAACGGGUAACGGGGAAUUAGGGUUCUAUUCCGGAGAGGGAGCCUGAGAAACGGCUACCACAUCCAAGGAAGGCAGCAGGCGCGCAAAUUACCCAAUCCUGAUACAGGGAGGUAGUGACAAUAAAUACUGAUACAGGGCUCUUCUGGGUCUUGUAAUUGGAAUGAGUACAAUUUAAAUCCCUUAACGAGGAACAAUUGGGGGGCAAGUCUGGUGCCAGCAGCC